rfam:[Clostridium] cellulosi genome assembly, chromosome: I
GCCUCUGUAGCUCAGUCGGUAGAGCAGGGGACUGAAAAUCCCCGUGUCGGUGGUUCGAUUCCGCCCGGAGGCA